CAGACAUGUUGCUAUCGCCAAAAGUGCCUCCUGAGUCAUAACACCAUGUGAACCCUAGUUACGAACACCUUUGGGAUAAAUUAGAGCCUGCCUGUGAGCUAGGCGAUCUUGUCCAACAUCAGUGCUUGACUUCACAAAUGUGCUUCUGGAAAAAUGGUCAAAAAUUUCCAUAAACACACUCCUAAACCUUGUGGAAUGCCUUCCCAGAAGACCUGAGGCUGUUAUAGCUGCAAAAGCUCUUUUCAGGAAAGACAUGAUGUGGAGGGGUUUGUAUUAGUGGUCACAUGGAUAUACCAAAUUAGCUGUGCUGUAAAGCCGAGUCCAAAUGCGUCAUUUAUAAGACUUGAAAUCAGGGCUGCAACUAAAUAUUAUUUUGGCAAUCAACUAAACUGCCAAUUUUUCUUUGAUUAGUCAAUUAGUCAAGUAUUAUUUCAAUAAUUCUUAUCUCCGCUUCCUGUGGGCAAACCUCCUGUUCUAGGCUCCAGUCUGCCCACCUGUUAAUAAUCUCACUGUUGUCUCGUCUCACAGAAAAUUAAAAUUAUGAUCCAGGAAACAUAGCAAUUUGAAAAUAAUCAAAUGUAUUUUUAACAUUACUCAAUAAGACUGUCAGAAUAAAAUGAAAUAAAUAAAAAUGUUAGAUUGUACAAAUUAAAGUUCUAGUAUUAUUUAAACAAAAAAAAUAGUGCAAACGGGAAAUCAAAAAUGGCUUCUGUCCAUAAGUUCAAAUAAAAGCUUCAAAUUAAAUCAAAAAGAUUUUUUUUCUAAUCCAGUGUAACAAGUUUCUGAAUUAUUGAUAUUGUUCGACCCACAGAUCAACUACCUAACGUUAGGUAGAAGAGUUUACUAUUCAGAAGAAAUGCUAUAUAUAUUAAUGUUAGGGGAAAACAAACAAACUAGGAGACAGUAUAGCAACCCCUUUUUGAUGGUUUAAUAUCGCAUUUCACUCAUUAGCUAACAAAACUGUAAUGAUGUUCAGUUAUCAAGCAUCAUCCUGGGAUAUUUCUAACAGGAUAGCUAACAUAAACAUUACUGUACAAAGAGUAACAGCGUUUAUAUGUCUGUGUAGGUUCAUGGUAAUCUAAGGAGCUUGGAAAGAAAAGCGACCAGACUUCUUUAAGUGUCUUGAAGACGUUUUACUUCUUAUUCGAGAAGCUUCUUCAGCAUUUUAAACGCUCGUACACUGAAUUAUUGCUGUUUUGGAACAAAAGCACAGCUUUGCACAGACUGCAUUUAACUUUAUUUGUUUUUGUAUAUUUUUAAAUCUCCGUUUCCAUUUUGUUCUGUCCUCCUGCUUUGCCGUUCACACUACAUUCUUAGUUUUGGCAGACGAUAUAGGCGAUACUGCCUCCAAAACAAACUUUUGGUUCCAGUCGUGCAAGGGCCUCUCUCACCUUUAGGGCCCGGGUGGUCAGUCCCACUUUUAUCCUCACUAAGUAGGUGGCCCCCAUAUUCAUCAGUUUCUGCUUACAAUAGCCUGUUUGAAAUACUCAUUCAAACAAGUUUAUGUUUGGUUGAGUGGUUUGUUAGACCCUGUGAAAAAACAUGUUGUGGUUAGACCCUAUGGAAAAGUGUCUCAGAUAUACAAAUACAAAUUCAAAUUUUAUUUGUCACAUACACAAUUUUACAUAAUACGACAUGCAGUGAAAUGCUUGUUGCUGUGCAAUGCCGAACCAUAAAAAAAGCUAAACGGAGACAUAAAAGUAAACAUAAAACUAAACUAGCAAGUAAUUUAGAUAAUAUACAAAUGUAAAAUUUAAAACUUAACUGUAAAAAAUGUACAAUAAAAUUGAAGGUUUAAAAAAUAAUAAUUAAAAAAAAAAAAAUAAACAAAGUGUGCAAGUAGAGACUGUGCAAAUAAACAGUGUGCAGAGUAACAGUUUGCAGUGGAAUAAAUAGUUCCUGAUGUAUAGUAAUGAGAGAGAGUCCAGUCUACACAUGGUUCAGGGACCGAAUAGCCUGAGGGAAGAAACUCCUCCUCAUUCUCUCUGUUUUGGCCUUAAGGGAGUGGAAGUGCUUCCCAG
ensembl:lncRNA